rnacentral:rRNA from 1 species
AUGAACGCUGACAGAAUGCUUAACACAUGCAAGUCUUUGGCGAAGCUGUGCUUGCACAGCCUAGCCAAGGCGGACGGGUGAGUAACGCGUAAGGAACUUGCCCUGCAGUCAGGGAUAACAGACGGAAACGACUGAUAAGACCUGGUAAAGUCAGGCGGACUCAUGUCCAGCCUGAUGAAAAGUGAUGCUGCAGGAGAGCCUUGCGUCCUAUUAGCUUGUUGGUGGGGUAACGGCCCACCAAGGCGAUGAUAGGUAGCCGGCCUGAGAGGGUGGACGGCCACAAGGGGACUGAGAUACGGCCCUUACUCCUACGGGAGGCAGCAGUGGGGAAUAUUGGACAAUGGGGGCAACCCUGAUCCAGCAAUUCUGUGUGCACGAUGAAGGUUUUCGGAUUGUAAAGUGCUUUCAGCAGGGAAGAAAAAAAUGACGGUACCUGCAGAAGAAGCGACGGCUAAAUACGUG